GGUCAUAUUGGAGAGGACAGGAUAAAUAGACUGGAGAAGGAUGGGAUCCUUGGCUCUCUUAACCCAAAGCUGUAUCCAGCUUGUGAAUCAUGCCUUCGAGAAAAAUGGCUAAGUUAUCCUUUGUAGGACAUAGGGAAAGGGCCACAGAGUUACUUACCCUGGCACACAUCGAUGUGUGUGGGUCAUUUGAUGUGCAGGUC
rnacentral:lncRNA from 1 species